CCUACGGGCGACAGCAGUGGGGAAUAUUGGGCAAUGGGCGCAAGCCUGACCCAGCAACGCCGCGUGAAGGAAGAAGGCUUUCGGGUUGUAAACUUCUUUUCUCAGGGACGAAUCAAGUGACGGUGCCUGAGUAAUAAGCCACGGCUAACUACGUGCCAGCAGCGGCGGUAAUACGUAGGUGGCAAGCGUUAUCCGGAUGUACUGGGUGUAAAGGGCGUGUAGGCGGGAAAGCAAGUCAGAGGUGAAAACCAUGGGCUCAACCUGUGGCCUGCAUUUGAAAUUGUUUUUCUUGAGUACUGGAGAGGCAGACGGAAUUCCUGGUGUAGCGGUGAAAUGCGUAGAUAUUAGGAGGAACACCAGUGGCGAAGGCGGUCUGCUGGACAGCAACUGACGCUGAGGCGCGAAAGCGUGGGGAGCAAACAGGAUUAGAUACCCGUGUAGUC
rnacentral:rRNA from 1 species